GAAUUACUCCCUUCGUUCGGAAUUACUUGUCACAAAAAUGGAUGUAUCUACAACUAAAAUACGUCUAGAUACAUUUAUUUCUUGGACGAGUAAUACCGAACGGAGGGAGUAUAAG
rfam:Triticum aestivum genome assembly, contig: Triticum_aestivum_CS42_TGACv1_scaffold_132222_2BL